UGUCAGUGUGCUGUUAUAUAACUGAGGUAUUUUUAAGGCCUGACUUGUGGCAUUGAUGCCCAUUGCUUUACUGUCCUGUUGGAUGUGUAUGUGUGCUAUCCCUUGUAUCUGACAUUUGAUUGGGCAUCACUGUGUUGCUAUGGCAUGAUCCUGGUAGUUGUUGUUAUUAAAACAAUAACAAUAACAAAUUCAAACAUUGCUGCAUUCUUCUGUAACUGAGGAUUCCAAACCUGCACUCAGUCUCCUCAUUACACUGGUACUGAACAGACACAACACUGAAGCUCUUGCAAACUUCAACUGCAACUAUCUGACACAAAUCUGCGACUGACAGCAAGCACAGAAACUUCAAACAAGUCCCUGAAAGAAACCAAAUCCUGCGUCUUUGCCGUGACAGACGCCUAAAAUGGCUCGAGCUGUGACAAAGGAGAAGCACCCAGACUCAUCCAACGAAGACCGCUGUGCUCUGGAGAGUGAAUUUCCCUCUUACAUGUUUAGACCGAUCAGCGCACCUGCAUGUGAGGUCCCAAGUCCUCCACCUGCUGAUGCCUGGUUUCAGUCAAAGGACACAGAUAAGGUCAUGCAUCCAGACUUUAAAAAUGAUCGUUCAUCCCUGGAUGACGAAGUGGCCUUUUUUAUGUGUCCCAGUGAUGUUCCUCUGCCCCCGAGACCUCCACCCACUGCAGAGUUACGUCUCUGUAGAAAACGCCGAUAUUCAAGCGUUUUUUCUGUGGAUG